rnacentral:rRNA from 1 species
UACGUAGGGUGCGAGCGUUAAUCGGAAUUACUGGGCGUAAAGCGUGCGCAGGCGGUUCGUUGUGUCGGCGGGGAAAGCCCCGGGCUUAACCUGGGAACGGCCGUUGAAACUGGCGAACUGGAGUGUGGCAGAGGGGGGUGGAAUUCCCGGUGUAGCGGUGAAAUGUGUAGAGAUCGGGAGAAACACCGGUGGCGAAGGCGGGUCUCUGGGCAUCUCCUGACGCUGAGGCGCGAAAGCGUGGGGAGCAAACGGG